rnacentral:tRNA from 1 species
GGGGUUGUGGCUCAGCGGUAGAGCACUAUUCUAGCACAUGUGAAGCCCUGAGUUCGAUCCUCAGCACUGCA